UACGGAGGGGGCUAGCGUUGUUCGGAAUUACUGGGCGUAAAGCGCACGUAGGCGGCUUUGUAAGUUAGAGGUGAAAGCCCAGGGCUUAACUCUGGAAUUGCCUUUAAGACUGCAUCGCUAGAAUCGUGGAGAGGUGAGUGGAAUUCCGAGUGUAGAGGUGAAAUUCGUAGAUAUUCGGAAGAACACCAGUGGCGAAGGCGACUUACUGGACACAUAUUGACGCUGAGGUGCGAAAGCGUGGGGAGCAAACAGG
rnacentral:rRNA from 1 species